rnacentral:rRNA from 1 species
UACGAAGGGGGCUAGCGUUGCUCGGAAUCACUGGGCGUAAAGCGCACGUAGGCGGCUUGUUAAGUCAGGGGUGAAAUCCUGGAGCUCAACUCCAGAACUGCCUUUGAUACUGGCGAGCUUGAGUCCGGGAGAGGUGAGUGGAACUGCGAGUGUAGAGGUGAAAUUCGUAGAUAUUCGCAAGAACACCAGUGGCGAAAGGCGGCUCACUGGCCCGGUACUGACGCUGAGGUGCGAAAGCGUGGGGAGCAAAGCA